CGGGGAUUGGCGCAGUUGGCUAGCGCGCGUCGUUCGGGACGGCGAGGUCGCCGGUUCAAAUCCGGUAUCCCCGA
rnacentral:tRNA from 1 species